rnacentral:rRNA from 1 species
GACGAACGCUGGCGGCGUGCCUAAUACAUGCAAGUUGAGCGCUGAAGGUUGGUACUUGUACCAACUGGAUGAGCAGCGGACGGGUGAGUAACGCGUGGGGAAUCUGCCUUUGAGCGGGGGACAACAUUUGGAAACGAAUGCUAAUACCGCAUAAAAACUUUAAACACAAGUUUUAAGUUUGAAAGAUGCAAUUGCAUCACUCAAAGAUGAUCCCGCGUUGUAUUAGCUAGUUGGUGAGGUAAAGGCUCACCAAGGCGAUGAUACAUAGCCGACCUGAGAGGGUGAUCGGCCACAUUGGGACUGAGACACGGCCCAAACUCCUACGGGAGGCAGCAGUAGGGAAUCUUCGGCAAUGGACGAAAGUCUGACCGAGCAACGCCGCGUGCGUGAAGAAGGUUUUCGGAUCGUAAAACUCUGUUGGUAGAGAAGAACGUUGGUGAGAGUGGAAAGCUCAUCAAGUGACGGUAACUACCCAGAAAGGGACGGCUAACUACGUG